rnacentral:rRNA from 1 species
AACGAACGCUGGCGGCAGGCCUAACACAUGCAAGUCGAGCGCGCCCUUCGGGGUGAGCGGCGGACGGGUGAGUAACGCGUGGGAACGUGCCCUUCUCUGCGGAAUAGCCUCGGGAAACUGAGAGUAAUACCGCAUACGCCCUUUGGGGGAAAGAUUUAUCGGAGAAGGAUCGGCCCGCGUUGGAUUAGGUAGUUGGUGGGGUAAUGGCCCACCAAGCCGACGAUCCAUAGCUGGGUUGAGAGGAUGAUCAGCCACACUGGGACUGAGACACGGCCCAGACUCCUACGGGAGGCAGCAGUGGGGAAUCUUAGACAAUGGGGGCAACCCUGAUCGAGCCAUGCCGCGUGAGUGAUGAAGGCCUUAGGGUUGUAAAGCUCUUUCAGCUGGGAAGAUAAUGACGGUACCAGCAGAAGAAGCCCCGGCUAACUCCGUG